rnacentral:rRNA from 1 species
AGACGUAGGGGGCGAGCGUUGUCCGGAAUUACUGGGCGUAAAGAGCACGUAGGCGGGACUUUAAGUCAGAUGUGAAAGACCGGGGCUCAACCCCGGGGUUGCAUUUGAAACUGGAGUUCUUGAGGGCAGGAGAGGGCAGUAGAAUUCCUGGUGUAGCGGUGAAAUGCGUAGAAAUCAGGAGGAAUACCAGUGGCGAAGGCGACUGCCUGGACUGACCCUGACGCUGAGGUGCGAAAGCGUGGGUAGC